rnacentral:rRNA from 1 species
AUGGGUAUUAUGGUAUUCAACAUUGGUGGUCGACCAGGACAAGGUGUCUGUGAGCGCGUAUUUCUAUGCUGUGGAUUUCACAUCAAGAAGCUCUGGCAAACAAAAAUUAUGCAGGCUGCUGACACUGAUAUUUCAGCUUUAGUUGAAAUUGAGGAGAAUAGCCCACAUCGAUUUGAGUUCUUCAUGGAUCGAGUUGGGGAUCAGCCUGUCUGUGCACGUACAGCCUGGGCAUACAUGAAAUCUGGUGGCCACAUUUCACAUUCUUUAUCUGUGUACAGCUGUCAACUUCGCAAUCCCAACCAGGUGAAGAAAAUAUUUGAGUUUCUUAAAGAUGGAUUUCAUGAAGUCAGCAGCUGCCUUGAUUUGUCCUUCGAUGACGAUUCUGUUGCUGAUGAAAAAAUUCCCUUCCUAGCAUACCUAGCUAGUUUUUUGAAAGAUAAUAAAACCAAUCCUUGUGAGCCUCCAGCUGGAUGUCUAAACUUCCGGAAUCUUGUUGCUGGAUUUAUGAAGUGCUACCACCACAUCUCACUGACAUCUGAUAAUGUUGUUGUAUUCCCUUCCCGUGCUGUGGCAAUAGAAAAUGCUCUUCAAUUGUUCUCACCGGCCCUUGCAAUUGUUGAUGAACAUCUGACCAGACAUUUGCCGAAGCAGUGGUUAAGAUCUUUAGCGAUUGAGGAAAGAGCAGACGGUAAAGACACUAUCGGUGUAAUUGAGGCACCACGCCAAUCAGAUUUGCUGAUCGAGUUGAUCAGGAAAUUGAAGCCUCACCUUGUUGUUGCUGGCAUGGCUCAAUUUGAGGCUAUCACCAGUGCUGCUGUUGUGAAUUUACUAAGCGCAACGAAAGAUGUUGGUUCUCGGUUACUGCUAGAUAUAUCAGAGCAUCUGGAGUUGUCUAGUCUGCCAAGAUCUAAUGGUGUAUUGAAAUAUCUUGCUGGAAACUCCCUACCUUCCCAUACAGCUAUACUGUGCAGUUUAGUAAAGAAUCAGGUAUAUCCUGAUCUGGAAGUUGCUUUUGUCAUUUCUGAAGAUGGAGGUGUCUGCAAGGCACUAUCACAAACUAUUGAACUAUUGGAAGGGCGUACCUCUGUAAUCAGCCAGCACUAUUAUGGAUGUCUUUUCCAUGAGCUGCUGGCUUUUCAAAUUGGUGAGAGGCAUCGGCAACAAAAGAGACGACCUGCAGAAGUGAUACCUGAGAAGAUGAUAGGAUUUUCAAAUUCAGCUAUCUCUAUCCUAAAAGAAGCUGACUUUUUUGUUCCUGAUUCCAAGGAAUCUGGCGUCAUUCAUAUGGAUUUAGAUCGUAGCUUCUUGCCAGUACCUUCUGCAGUGAAAGCCUCCAUUUUUGAAAGUUUUGUUAGGCAGAACGUCAGUGAUUCUGAAACUGAUGUCCGUUCCAGCAUCCAACAGCUAGUGAAAGAUAGCUAUGGUUUCCCAACAGACUAUCGUUCUGAAAUUAUAUAUGGCCACACCUCCCUUGCACUCUUCCGCAAACUUGUUCUUUGUUGCAUGCAAGAAGGAGAGCCUUCCUAUACAGUGAUUCCUCUCCUUCUCAUCCUCGUGCUGCUGCGAGCCACUGCCGGCGUUGCAAGGUGCGUCCUCAGGGCCGACCUCGACAUCAAUUUCGACCUCUUCGUCACAGGGAGGGACUACCUACAAGUUGAGGAGGUGUACAACAGGGUCGUGGGGUUGAGCAGCUACAAGGCGUAUGGCAAGCCGGUGAUGGCCAAGCAGACGGGUGUUACUAUAGUUUCUUGUAUUUAA